rnacentral:sRNA from 1 species
AAAUCAAUAAUAAAUUACAGUUUCGA